rnacentral:rRNA from 1 species
AUUGAACGCUGGCGGAAUGCUUUACACAUGCAAGUCGAGCGGCAGCGCGGGGCAACCUGGCGGCGAGCGGCGAACGGGUGAGUAAUACAUCGGAACGUACCCAGUCGUGGGGGAUAACACAGCGAAAGUUGUGCUAAUACCGCAUACGACCUGAGGGUGAAAGUGGGGGACCGCAAGGCCUCACGCGAUUGGAGCGGCCGAUGGCGGAUUAGCUAGUUGGUGAGGGAAAGGCCCCCCAAGGCGACGAUCCGUAGCGGGUCUGAGAGGACGGCCCGCCACACUGGAACUGAGACACGGUCCAGACUCCUACGGGAGGCAGCAGUGGGGAAUUUUGGACAAUGGGGGAAACCCUGAUCCAGCCAUUCCGCGUGAGUGAAGAAGGCCUUCGGGUUGUAAAGCUCUUUCGGCAGGAACGAAACGGUCGUCGCUAACAUCGAUGGCUAAUGACGGUACCUGAAGAAGAAGCACCGGCUAACUACGUGCCAGCCGCCGCCGUAA